UUUUUUUAUGAAUAGAUGAUUCCAAAUUUAAAUUUCGUUACUUGAAAUUUUCUCUUGUAUUGUAUAUUCCUAAACUCAGUAUAUUGUUAAUAUUUUUGAAUCUUUUCUCUUAAGAUAUAACAACAAGCUUUCAGUCUUUUCUCUGAUACUACAAAGAAAUUCAAGGUGAUCCAACACUUGGAUACUAGAGAUAAAUUGAAAAAUUAACAUAAAAAUGAUAAAAAUAUUACAUGAAUAGUAGUUAAAAAGUGAUAAAUAUAUAUAACAUGUUGUUUUUCCUUGUCUGCUUGGUCAAGUAGGGGAUGAGCGAGUUGACUCAGUUUUGAGUUGGAGCUCUAGUCUUGUAUUUUUCAAAGAAGAUGAGCACCUAGGGUAGACUUGUUACUGGUUCUCACAAGAGGAAUGAGUAUCUCCUCGUAAAUAAGGGUGAGCAGAAUAACCGAGUAACUAAAGAAAUGAAAAAACUGAAAUUUGAGGUGGGUUAGUGCAUUGGCAUCAUCUGGGAAGAAAGCCGUCGGAGCAAACUCCCACAGUUCCAUUCGUUGUUGAAGGUAAAAAAGCAAGACAUGUGAAAAGUCAUGGCCCUCUCAGUUUCCUAAAGAAACUUUGAUGUCCUAAAACAACAAGGUUCACGAUCUAUGUCAACCACACGGUUCCAAUGGAUCAGCCAAAAGCUGCAUUACAGAUGUUGAAGAGCUGGUUGCAAGGAAAGCUUGCGUGACUGGUGCUAAGGAGAGGGUCGAUACACUGGCGAUUUGUGUCUGCUGUCUUAGCGCGCAUGCUCAAGCUUUGUCUCACGCCUAUGGUUGUCAGAAAUGGCGUUUUGUGCACUUUAAUUAGCAAUGAUACAAAAUAAAAAAGCACAUACAAUCUUCACUCAGAUGUCUCCAUAGUGAACUCAGCUAGUUUGAUACAGAUGGGUUGUCUUAUAUUUUAACAUGGCAUUUGUUUGUAUUGUUGCCUUUUCGUAGGUGCACCAAACAUAUUGAUGUUGCUAUUUUAUGUUUUGACA